UCUAGUGUGUGAGCGAGUUAGCAAGUAGAAGCGCCUAAGCCGAAAAAUAGUUAUCUGUUUGCCUUAGAAUUAUAUAUCGUUAUCAAUAAAAAAUAUUACAUAUUUCGUGAGCCGUGGCACAUUAUCUUGCACACGCAUACACACCGGCACAAUAAAUCGGAAAUCGUGUGAAAUCUGCACAGACAGCUAUAACAAGCAGAGUUUCUUUGUGCGCAGCGUUAACAAGUGCACACAAACAAGCAUACACUCACAUACACACAUACAUACACAGAAACACUGAGUACUCAGCAAACAUUGUUGCACAGCAACAGCAACGCCAACUGCAGAUUAGCAGCAGCAAUUUCUGUUGUAAAACGGAAGUUGUUGUCAUAGUCAGCGUCGCGGCAGAGGCGACGAUAGAGGCUUGUGCUACAGUAAUUUUUAUAUAAAGCAACAAUUUGACGACAACCGAAAACGAACCUUUGCUACCUGAGCGGAGUAACAGGGAGAGAGCGAUAGAGUGGCGGAGGGACACACACACUCGCAUACAGCUAGAGUUGGUUGGUGGCAUAAAGGUUAUCA